rnacentral:rRNA from 1 species
GGGGAAUAUUGCACAAUGGGCGCAAGCCUGAUGCAGCCAUGCCGCGUGUAUGAAGAAGGCCUUCGGGUUGUAAAGUACUUUCAGCGGGGAGGAAGGUGUUGUGGUUAAUAACCGCAGCAAUUGACGUUACCCGCAGAAGAAGCACCGGCUAACUCCGUGCCAGCAGCCGCGGUAAUACGGAGGGUGCAAGCGUUAAUCGGAAUUACUGGGCGUAAAGCGCACGCAGGCGGUCUGUCAAGUCGGAUGUGAAAUCCCCGGGCUCAACCUGGGAACUGCAUUCGAAACUGGCAGGCUAGAGUCUUGUAGAGGGGGGUAGAAUUCCAGGUGUAGCGGUGAAAUGCGUAGAGAUCUGGAGGAAUACCGGUGGCGAAGGCGGCCCCCUGGACAAAGACUGACGCUCAGGUGCGAAAGCGUGGGGAGCAAACA